UAUAUUACUGGUAGUUACUAUACUAGUAAUAUUAAUAGUGAGUGCAUUAGUGUGUAGGAGAAGAUUGUAUAAAAAAUCAAUUGGAAAUGAUUCUGUCAGUUCUACUGAAAGUAAAGCUGAUAUACAUCAACAAUCAGAUGCAAUAAAAAUGAACGAAGGACAGAAUACAUUAACAACAUCAACUAAUCCUGCCUAUGGAGUUACUGGUCAAAAAUCUGGUGUAUCUGCUAAUUCUGCCUAUGGUAUUCACAACAGAGAAGGAAUAGAAAGUAUUGGUGAAGAAGCAUUAGUAUAUGAUGAACCAAGAACAAUGAUGUUCAAUGAACAAGAGGAAGAAGAUGAACAGUACAUCUAACAGAAAAAAUAAUAAUAAU